rnacentral:rRNA from 1 species
UACAGAGGUCUCAAGCGUUGUUCGGAUUCAUUGGGCGUAAAGGGUGCGUAGGCGGCGCGGUAAGUCGGGUGUGAAAUCUUGGAGCUUAACUCCGAAACUGCAUUCGAUACUGCCGUGCUUGAGGACUGGAGAGGAGACUGGAAUUUACGGUGUAGCGGUGAAAUGCGUAGAUAUCGUAAGGAAGACCAGUGGCGAAGGCGGGUCUCUGGACAGUUCCUGACGCUGAGGCACGAGGGUCAGGGGAGCAAACGGG